AAGACUAUACUUUCAGGGAUCAUUUCUAUAGCUUGUUACUAAAAAAAAUUUUCUGAUUGUGUAGAGCACCAGAAACCAUGAGGAGCCAGAGAAUUCUCUCCUGAGCGUGAGGCCGGUUCUAUGUUGCUUUUUCAACUGCCUUUUACUAACCACUGUUCAUUCUUUUCUUUCCUUGGGAGAGUGGGAGAGUAGCAGUCUGAGUACU